AAUGAACGCUGGCGGCAGGCCUAACACAUGCAAGUCGAGCGAGCGCACCGGAAGUUUGCGCCUCUGAGGUUGGCGGCGGACGGAUGAGUAACACGUCGAUAGCAUACCUCUAUGACUGGGAGAAUUACGCGGAACAGGUGCUAAUACCGGAUAAUAUUUUGAACAGCAUGGUUCAAGAGUUAAAUACGGUCUUGCUGUCGCUAAUAGCCGAAUCCACGCUGGAUUAGCUAGUGGGUAAGGUAGCGGCUUACCAAGGCUACGAUGCAUAGCCGACCUGAGAGGGUGGUCAGCCACACGGGAACUGAGGCACGGUCGAGACGCCUAAGGGAGGCAGCAGUAGGGAAUCUUACGGAAUGGACGAAUGCCUGACGUAGCAAAACGGCGGGAGUGAUGAAGGUCCUCGGAUGGGAGAGCGCUGUAGGUCGGCAAGAAGAUAUGCGCGAUUAACUGUGCACAUAAUGACGGUACCAAAUGAAAAAGCCACGGCUAACUACGUG
rnacentral:rRNA from 1 species